rnacentral:misc_RNA from 1 species
GCCAAUAUAACAGGACUAGUUAUAGCCUUAAUAUGUGGGUGGAAAACAGGUGGUGAAUGUGAUGCUAACACUAAUCUUGUAAAUAUGAGGGCUUCAAUCUUUAAAUUCGAUGUGGAAGAUUUUUCACAUAAUGCCUUCUCAAUUCCAGGAAUAAGGGAUCCAAUGUGAUCUGCUAGACAAUCAGGCAGAACAACCACGAGUUCUUUCAAAACUGAGAAGGCGCCAACCUUUGUCUUGACAGACUUCUCCCGAAGCUGCUUAUUUAAUGAUCUAACAAUCUUGGGCACUUCUUGCUUCAAUAGCCAUCUAGGACUUGAUUCAUUCAGAUCAGUCUGUCCUUUCGUAACAUUGCCUGUUUGUCGCAACAAUUCAGUGAAUGUACUGAACACAUCCAUCUUAACAUUCUCUUCCCUUUCUUUAAACCUAUCAAUCAACUUUGGACAAGCCUGCUCGUACAACUUUGAUAGCAUCUCAGGCCGUGUAACUACCAAUGCAGCUAAGCAUUUGGCAGCAGCUCUUCUAACCUUCCAACUGACAUCUUCAUCAUCCGUGUAUUCAUUAGCACUCUCAUCAUCUUCAUCUUCCUCAAGAAUUUCUUCAUCAAUAUCUUCGUCCAUAUUGUCAGUGAAGUUGGGAUCGUAGCUGAGAUAUUCCAGGGUGAGAUGCAAAAUCUCAUCACAGUAGGAAUAAAUAUCCCGGGGACACCUUAGCAAAAAGCUCUCAAGUGCCUGCAGACUAUAUUCACGAAGCUCCUCAUCA